GAUGAACGCUGGCGGCGUGCCUAAUACAUGCAAGUCGAGCGAACGGACGAGAAGCUUGCUUCUCUGAUGUUAGCGGCGGACGGGUGAGUAACACGUGGAUAACCUACCUAUAAGACUGGGAUAACUUCGGGAAACCGGAGCUAAUACCGGAUAAUAUUUUGAACCGCAUGGUUCAAAAGUGAAAGACGGUCUUGCUGUCACUUAUAGAUGGAUCCGCGCUGCAUUAGCUAGUUGGUAAGGUAACGGCUUACCAAGGCAACGAUGCAUAGCCGACCUGAGAGGGCGAAAGGCGACAUGGGGAAUGCGACAAGGAGGAGAGUAAGACGGGAGGACGAAGGGGGGAAUAGGGCGCAAGGGGGGGAAGCCUGAAGUAUCAGUGAGGAGGGAGGAAUAAAGGUAUACGUAUCUGAAAACACUGAGACUAGACAAAAACAAAGGGGGAAGUAACGAUGCAUGCCGGGCGGGGAGGUAAUAAGAGAGCCACGACGCACUAAAAG
rnacentral:rRNA from 1 species